rnacentral:rRNA from 1 species
CACUGGGACUGAGACACGGCCCAGACUCCUACGGGAGGCAGCAGUUUUGAAUUUUCCGCAAUGGACGAAAGUCUGACGGAGCAACGCCGCGUGUUUAAGAAGGCCUUCGGGUCGUAAAGUUCUGUUGUUAGGGAAGAACAAGUACCAGAG